rnacentral:rRNA from 1 species
GAUGAACGCUGGCGGCGUGCCUAAUACAUGCAAGUCGAGCGAACGGACGAGAAGCUUGCUUCUCUGAUGUUAGCGGCGGACGGGUGAGUAACACGUGGAUAACCUACCUAUAAGACUGGGAUAACUUCGGGAAACCGGAGCUAAUACCGGAUAAUAUUUUGAACCGCAUGGUUCAAAAGUGAAAGGCGGUCUUGCUGUCACUUAUAGAUGGAUCCGCGCUGCAUUAGCUAGUUGGUAAGGUAACGGCUUACCAAGGCAACGAUGCAUAGCCGACCUGAGAGGGUGAUCGGCCACACUGGAACUGAGACACGGUCCAGACUCCUACGGGAGGCAGCAGUAGGGAAUCUUCCGCAAUGGGCGAAAGCCUGACGGAGCAACGCCGCGUGAGUGAUGAAGGUCUUCGGAUCGUAAAACUCUGUUAUUAGGGAAGAACAUAUGUGUAAGUAACUGUACACAUCUUGACGGUACCUAAUCAGAAAGCCACGGCUAACUACGUG